GACGAACGCUGGCGGCGUGCUUAACACAUGCAAGUCGAGCGGUAAGGCCCUUUCGGGGGUACACGAGCGGCGAACGGGUGAGUAACACGUGGGUGACCCGCCCUCAGCUCUGGGAUAAGCCUGGGAAACUGGGUCUAAUACUGGAUAUGACUCCACGGUGCAUGUCGUGGGGUGGAAAGCCUUGUGCGGCUGAGGAUGGGCCCGCGGCCUAUCAGCUUGUUGGUGGGGUGAUGGCCUACCAAGGCGACGACGGGUAGCCGGCCUGAGAGGGCGACCGGCCACACUGGGACUGAGACACGGCCCAGACUCCUACGGGAGGCAGCAGUGGGGAAUCUUGCGCAAUGGGCGAAAGCCUGACGCAGCGACGCCGCGUGAGGGAUGACGCU
rnacentral:rRNA from 1 species